rnacentral:rRNA from 1 species
AGCAGCCGCGGUAACUCCAGCUCCAAUAGCGUAUAUUUAAGUUGUUGCAGUUAAAAGCUCGUAGUUGAAUUUUGGGUCUGGCCGGGCGGUCCGCCCUCCGGGUGAGCACUGUUCCGACGUCGGGCCUAUCCUUCUGGUGAGUCGGCAUGUCCUUUGCUGGGUGUGUCGGGGAACCAGGACCAUUACCUUGAAAAAUUAGAGUGUUCAAAGCAGGCGUAUGCUCGGAUACAUUAGCAUGGAAUAAUAGAAUAGGACGUGCGGUCCUAUUUUGUUGGUUUCUAGGACCGCCGUAAUGAUUAAUAGGGACAGUCGGGGGCAUCAGUAUUCAAUUGUCAGAGGUGAAAUUCUUGGAUUUAUGGAAGACUAACUACUGCGAAAGCAUUUGCCAAGGAUGUUUUCAUUAAUCAAGAACGAAAGUUAGGGGAUCGAAGACGAUCAGAUACCGUCGUAGUCUUAACCAUAAACUAUGCCGACUAGGAAUCAGACGAUGUUAUUCUCAUGACUCGCCCGGCGCCUUAUGGGAAACCAAAGUGUUUGGG